rnacentral:lncRNA from 1 species
UUUGCGUGCCUUGUUUAAUUUAUCCCACUAGACUGUAAGUUCAGGGCAGAUGGGGGAUGUCUGGUUUUUGUUUUUUUUUUUUUUGCCUAAUACUGUGUCCCCAUGCUGGGCACAGACCUAGCACAGAGUAGGUGCUUGGCAAAGAGCUUUUGAAUGAAUGAAUGAUUGGCUGUAGUCUUCCUGGGAAAGGGCUGGCAGGCAAGGAAGUGUUAAACCAGCCACUAACCGCCCAGGCUGACCAGCCUUCUCCCUAUCUCCCAGGCCUUUCGAACGGAGCCCGGGGAGGACAGGCUGGCAGAGGAGGGAGGAGGGUUUCUAGCUGAGAGAGACUGCGGCUGUGGGCCUGCAGCCUACCCCUCUUCAAGCUCUCCGGAGCCGUUCCUGCGAAACCAGCCCCCACAAAUAAGGAAGCUGGGAUUCAGAGAAAUUAAGGGACUUGGUGAAGCAGAGAAUGCCAAGGGAAUUGAUUCAGUAGUGGACGGGGAGUCCCUGAAGACUGUUGAGCAGUGAAGAGACCUGAUCGCAUACUAAAAAAGUACAUGCAAUGGCAAGAAGAUCAACUAAGAGAUUCUUCUUAUGUUGCUAUUUUAAACUCCUGAACUCAAGUGAUCCUCCUGCCUUGGCCUCCCAAAGUGCUGGGAUUACAGGUGUGAGACACUGCACCCUGCCCAAGCACCUCUGCUCCGUGCCAUGCUCUUGGCUAAUUGGAGUUGUGAAAGGCAUGAGGAUUCUGGUCAUGGACUCAGCUCUCCCAUAGGGUUCUGACACCAAAGCAAUGGUCACAACAGUGAAAGGAAGAAUCCAUCUGGCCAGGCUCAGGUGGUUCAAGGCCUUCAGAAUCUGCCUUGAGACUCUCACUGGCUUUAGACUGAAAACCAUCUUGGCCCCGUCCAUCCGUGUAAGCAAUUUAACGACAGCUUGCAAAGCACCGAGCUUUAACAGAAAGAAGAGAUGAGCACAGCGCAAGAACUUGGACUCCAGAAGAGCUGCCUAACAGAUUAUUUUUCUGUGGCAUUUCAUGAGAACAAACGAAGUAGGAAUUUUCCUUUUGUUUGUCUGGCCUUUGGCAUCGUUUACUUUCUUUUUAUUCUUCUGAAAUGUACUUCGAGCCCUGGCAGCAUUUCUGUCCUAAAAUCUUAUUGUCAGAGGUUUAUUUUUCAGCUUUUCAAAUCAUAUCUGAUAGAGUGAGUGUACUGCCUGGACUCAUCACUUUACUUCAGAAGAAAUACAGCUCACCCUUUAAAUGACAAUGGUGACUGUCCACAUCUUUAUGUUUUCUACACUGAAGUGGCAGGCUUCAUUUAAAAAUAAUGUUUUCCCUCAUCAAAAGAGAGCUAGGGUAGAACCGUCAACUCUGCUGUUGUCUGGGUAGUGACCUAACACCCACGUUUUGGACAAUCACUCACUGUCUUAUAUUGGGUUUUCAUUGCAUGUAGGAUAAUUCUUUGUCAAUGGUAGUUUUGUCAACCGUGAUCUGAGGUAAUGAGGUUUUCUACUUUUGCUUGAAAUUUUGAAAAUAUGCAAGCUUUAAACAUUUGCAAAGUUGGAUUCUGUUUUCUUUAGAAAGCAAUCUGAUUUGCUGAUAUUCUCUCCAUCUGUCAGGGGAUGCGUGAUGUGGUGUAGACUUAAUGUGCUGCCUUUCUGGAACAUGGACAGAGUAGCAGCACAGAAAAAUGAGCAUUUCAGCUCUGUGAUGAUUUGUGAAAAAAAAUCUCAGAUCAUUGAGCAGGCAUUUUGCUGACACCUGUGAAAAGUAACCACAUGAGAGAGCAUGGCGUGAUGGUCGGAGGCCACGUGCUGGAGCUGGACUGCUUGAGUCAAAUCCCAGCUGCUCAGCUGUAGUGAACUGAAUGGUGGUCCCCAAAAGAUACAUGUAUCUCCUAAUCCCUGGAACCUGUGAAUGUGACCUUAUUAGGCAAAAGGGUCUUUGCAGAUGUAAUUACAUUGAGGCUCUCAGAGAUGAGAACAUCCUGGAUUAUCAGGGUGGGUCCUAUAUCCAAUGACAAGUGUCUCCUUAUAGGAGACAGAAGAAGUUGCAGACCCGGAAGAGACUAAGUAAAGAUGGAGGCAGAGACUGGAGUGAGGCUGCUGCAGGCCAAAAAUGCCUGGUGCCAGCAAAAGCUGGAAGAGGCAAGGAAGGACCUUUCCCUGGGGCUUUUGGAGGGAGUGCAGCCCUGCUGAUGCCUUAGUGUUGGAUAUCUGGGCUAUGGAACUAUGAGAGAGAAACUUCUGUUGUUUUAAGCCACCUAGUUUGUGGUACUCUGUUAUGGCAGCCACAGGAAACUAAUACACUCUUUACCACCUGAGUGACCUUGGCCAACUUACUUAACCUCCAUGAAUCAGUCCCCUCAAAGGACCACCCUCCCCCCAGGGUCACUGUGAUGAUAAAGUGCUUUAGCAUAGGUGACUGGUUUAGACCAGGGCCUGGUACCUAGCACAUGCUAUGCCAGUGUUUCUAUCAUGGCAGCAGCAGAUGCAGUGGAGCUUAGAUUUCAACUGUGUCCAUGCUGGUUAGAAAAGUCACAGUCUGGGACACAGGACACUUCUGGAAGAAUCUCCCUCAGUGGAUCCCAGUGUUCCAGCAAUGUUUUCCAAGCAGCUGAAGAACAGGAAGCAGGAACAGGGUUCCCUACAAGAGCCAUUAUUCAGAUGCCUCUACAUCUGACUGGUUUCGGAGAAGUGUGACUUCUGGAGGUUUAUGUGCUGGGACUUUAACAGCAUACGUACUAAAAACCACAUUUAUGUUUCCUCAAAUGCUGGGCUCUCUAUGAGCCUUGACCUGCCUGAGAAGAUUAGAGGCGGCUGCCUAAUCUGAUCAGUCAACUCAGUGAAACAACUGCAUUGAUUAAAGCCAUAAGAUGUUAGGAUUCUCUGUUCUUGGUGGCCUAAAAGGUCCCAUUCCUUUCCCAAAGUGCUUAGCUUGAUCCCAUCCCAGGGAACAAUUUUGGGUGGAGGAGAACCUGGCCACAGAUCAUAAGAUCAUGUAUGACUAAGUCUACUUGCCUUCAUGGAAACAUACAUGGAGUUUUGGGCAAUUUCUUUGAAGCCCCUCUAGAGGCUUCUAAAGAUUGUUUAGUGCCAUCUGGUUUUUAAUCCUGGAUGUCAAACUUGUUGAUUUUUGCCCUGGACCAUCUGUUUUUCAACUUCCCACGGAACCUUUCCUUUGGGCCAAGUAGGGAAAGAAAUACUAUAUUUUUAAUUCUUUUUGUUUUGCCUUCUCAUCCCAGUCACAGCAUUAGAAAGGGAAAAUCGACUGUCUGACAAAGCUCUGAAAGACUGGACAUGAAGUGCUGGCCUUGCUAUCUGCAGGGCAUCUCCCUAUAGAUUGGAUACCUUUUCCUUCACUCUCUGAUAAAAAGUGAGACAGACUGAGCAUAGUCCUGUGACCAUUUAAUGCCUGUGCCCAGAACAUGGGUCUGUACCACUUGCAGGAGUCACAGUGGGGAGGAGCAGGGACCUUGGGGUCUGCCUGCCUCUGUCUGAAUUCCAGCUGAGCCCAUUCCUAGGCCAGUGCCUGGGAAAGUUAUCUGACCUCUGAGAUCCAGUCUACUAGCCUCACAAGUGAGACUGUGACAACACUUACCUCAAUGAGGCACUGGACAUCAUCUCAUUUAAUCCUCAACAUGCCUCAGUGUCCAGCAUUUAACAAGCUCCCAUAAACAUUAGUUACUCUCAUUCCUUAAUAUGAAUAGCAUUUAAAAUAAUAAAGUGGGAGAGAGCAAUGCUGCAUGCCCUACAACUGGCCAGAGAGCUUGCAGCAAGGAGAAUGCUUAGGUGGAACAUACAGGCCUUUUCUGUGUUCAUCCCAUUCCAAAGGAUUUGGUGUUGCCAUAUAUGGAACAUGAAGAUUAGAAAUGGCCAUUUCCAAACUGGUGAAUCCCUUGGUGCCUUUUUCUCCAUUGUGAUUCAUCCGGGGUACCCUCAGUUUUCAGUGGUCAUGGUCAUUCCAAACCAGCCAUGAGCUGGGGGAACAUUGUACUGUGGUAAACCCAGGGCCACCUGACCAGAGCUUCUCCAAUUUUAUAAACCCAAGUUGUAGGUGGGAUGAUGGAUGCAGGCUUCCCUGGCAAAUGCUUCCUGGGCAUUGUAGACACUGUCACUUCUAGGGGGCUGCAGUUGCCUCAUUGUAUAAUUCUGGUCAUCAGAAAGGAGGCAGUAAUGGAUGAGCUGCCCUUCUGGACAAAAUGACAUCUCUCUUAUUGAAAAAGGCUAAGAAGCUAUUUUCUUUUCCCCCUCUGCAACCACUAUUUAUUGCAUGAGAUUUCAGAAUGAUGAUGAUAAAAAAGCAAGUUUAUAGAGACAUCAUGAGGUUGUGUAAAUAAAAUAAAGUAAUAUCUGGGACAGAUAUACCAAAGAAAAUUGAACCCAAAAUGUCUAACUUUGCAGUCCAUACUCAGCCAGAACUCCCAAUGAAUUAAAACACAGACUGCAUAAUUAUGUACACAAAAUGCCUUUAAAGUUGCUCCAUAAAUUUGGAGAAAAAAGGAUAGUCUGUGUAAAGCUACUAGGGCAAAAUUCCUUACUGUGGGUUUAUAGGCACUAGUACAAGUGGUUCCCAAAUCCCCGUUUUUAUUUUUUAAUUAUAAAUAAGAAGAACACAGUCUCCCCUUGCAACUUCCACUUCGUCACAGCCUCCAGGCACAGAGGACAGAGUUCCUGGAAAAAAGGAAGGCUUAAUUCCAGGUCUGUAAUAGCAAAGUUACAGUCAGACUGAACAUUGAUUAUAUUUAAAUCCACCAUAUUUUUCCUUUGAAAACCACAUAUUAUUUAACAUCUUGAAUGCUUUACAUUGAAUUUGUUGAAAAAUUCUCCCUGUGUUUUCAGGCCUUUAUCAUAAUUUUGUUUUUAUUUCUUAAUUUUUCUUUUCAAAUAAGUGAGAGAAUCAAGUUAAUUGAGCAAUGAUAUGUAAGUCAUUCAGUUAAUAUGGAAAUUUUGGGCCAGCCAUGGAGGCUUAUGGCUGUAAUCUCAGCAUUUUGGGAGGCCGAGGCAGGCAGAUCUCUUGAGCCCAGGAGUUUGAGACCAGCCUGGGUAACAUGGAGAAACCCUGUCUUUCCCCCAAAAUACAAAAAUUAGCCGGGCAUGGUGGCAUGUGCCUCUAGUUCCAGCUACUCGGGAGGCUGAGGCACAAGAAUAGCUUGAGCCUGGGAGGUAGAGGUUGCAGUGAGCCAAGAUCAUACCACUGCACUCCAGCCUGGGUGACAGAGCAAGACCCUGUCUCAAAAAAAAAAAAAAAAGAAAGAAAAGAAAGAAGAAAAAAAAGAAAGAAAGAAAGAAAGAAAGAAAGAAAGAAAGAAAGAAAGGAAAGAAGAAAAAGAAAGAAAGAAACAAAAGAAAGAAGAAAAAAAGAAAGAAAAGAAAGAAGAAAAAAAGAAAAAGAAAGAAGAAAAAGAAAGAGAAAGAAAGAAAAAAAAGAAAGAGAAAUUCUGGGAAUUCUAGCUUUCUCUUGGUGCAUGCUCUCAUUCGAUUGAAAUCAAGCAGUUUCUACAUGAGGCAGACAAGUUCCUAGGGUAUGCAGAAAGGGGCAAUAUCUUGGUUCUUGCUUCAAAAGAGCUAACUGCUGCUGGGACCUACGGUUGAGCAAUGACUCAGGGACCUGGCUGGUAAAGAGGAAGGAAGUGGCUAUGGAAAGUUGCUGUUAAGUAACUGGAGCCCCAAAAUAACAUAAUAUUGACCAAGUCAUCCCACCCCCAACACCUACCAUUACUGAGAGUAACAAUGUGGAGAUAGCCAUGCAGGCUCCUGGGUCCAUUUGUCACUUAUUUGAGUUCCCUUCGUUACAACUCUUAAUGCUACUGAACUCUAAUUACAUGACAUGGAAAUGCAUGGGAUGAAGGAGCUGGAGGGGAUUUGCCCUCAACUCCACAGUCCCAUGAGAGAGUGAUUUGUCUUUAUAUAAAUAGCUAUCAACUAAAUUGAGAUCAUAAGAGUUAUAUCUUUGAAGAUAACAUAUAAUUGCAUUCAUAAGAAGUAUUCAAAAUCACCAUUUCAUAAAUUUUUCCAAUAUCCCUAUGAGUAGGGAUUGUUAUUCUCAUUUUACCAACGAGGAGUCUCAUUACUAAAUGUAGGAAAAGUACUUGAUCUGAGUAGCAUGAUAAAAAGUACACAUUAAAACAAGAAGACAUAUUUUGACCAUCAAACUAGCAAGGAUAUAUAAACCAUAAAAUUAACAACGUUUAAAAAAUAAUGCUUUAUGCUGGCAAGGUUAUGCUGACAUUGAAAUGAAAAUUCUCUUUCUGCUGAUAAAAGUACAUGUUGGUUAAGCCUCUCUGAAGAGCAAUUUGCAAUGUGUCUCAGGAAAAUUAUUCAUACAUUUAGAUGCAGUAAUUUUAUUUCUGAGAUUUCCUUCUAAGGAAGUAAUAAGAAAUGUAGACAAAUUUUGCAUGCAAAGAUCUUUCUCGCAAUGUUUUUUAUAAUGAUAAGAACUUGGAUAUAACAAAUAUUUAACCACUUAUGAUACACCUACAUAAUGGAAUAUUAUGGAGCCCCUAAAAUUAUAUUUUUGAAAACUUUUAAUGACAUGAGAAAACAUUCAAAAUGUACUGUUAAAUGAAAAAGGCAGGAUUAAAAACUUACAUAAUAGUAUGAUCAUGGUUAUAUCAAAACAUAUGUGCAAAUCCAUUCAAACUAGACUGGAAGAAGUAGAACUUAGUUAACUUGUUCGAGGUCAAAUAUCUGCCAAGCAGAGGAGCCAGCACCUAAACACAGUUCUUCUGACACUAAUCCCAAUGUCUCCUUCCCCAUAUCAUGAUGUCUCAGAAAAUACUCAGUUUGAGUAAUACAUUGUUGUUUGUUUUAUUAGAAAACAAACUAUUCAUGGAAUUAUGCUAAAAUCCAUUACUACUUUGAUUAGAUUCAGGAAUUCAAGUAAAUUUUGGGGUAUUGCUCAAUUUCCCUAGUUCUGCAAGUUGCUGAAACCACACCCACGUUUACAACACCCAAGUAUGCUAAGCCCAUGGCUAGGACUCAGUUUCCAAAAUGUGUUACCUGCACUAUAUUUGUAACCCCCUUUAACACAGAAAGAAUCAUAAAAUUCAAUAUAGAAGAUGACUUGGAGAGGUUAUAUUUUUCUAGUAGUUUCCAAAUUGAACUAAACAGCAACACUACUAGCGUGAUUUUCUCAAAAUACAGAUCCAGGUCCUACCCCAAGGAUUCUAUUUUAGCAAGUCAGGGUGGAGCCCUGUCCUCUGUAUUUUAAAUAGUACCCUGGGUAGGACCAUCUUUAAACCAUUCCAACCAGUGGUAGUGAUGCGUCUGAUGAGGUCCCCACAUGCACGGAGUUACAUGUAGUGAUUCCACUACUUCAGGUUAGAAAAACACCUCUUCAAAACCUGGAUUUAUUUAUAACGUGAGUAUACUGGCCACUGAGUCCUGUAACUACUUGACUCAUUCUUUCAAUGGUUACUGGGGAAAUCACUUUAUCUUCCACUGAUGCCUGCACUAGAUAUUUACUGUUGCUUAACAAAGGAUUCUCAAACUUGGUGGCAUCAGGCAACAAGCAUUUAUUAUCUCAUGAUUUCUAUGGAUCAAAAUGCUAGGCACAGUUUAAUUGGGUGCUCCUGGGUCAAGGUCUUUGUUGAGGUUGCAGGCAAACUAUUGGCCAGGGCUGUGGUCUCAUCUGAAGGCCAGAGAGAGAGAGAAAAAGGGGAGGGAAUCUGUUUUCAAUUUCACUUACACAAUUAUUGGCAGGUCCUUCUACGCUGGGCUGAAUGACAACAUGGUAGCUGACUUCCCAUAGAAAGAGAGAACAAAGAAAGCAGGAGUGAGAAAGUGAGAGUAAGAGACAGAACAAGAGAGAUUGAGCAAGAAAAUGUGCAACCAUAUGCACCCAAAUGUGCACUGAAGACAGAAGUCACAAUCUUUCUGUGAUCUAAUCUUGAAGUAACAUCUCAUCAUUUUUUCAUAUUUGUUAGAAGCAAGUCAACUUCAGCACAUAACCAAGGAGAGAAAAUUACACAAGGUUGUGAAAUACCAGAACCAUGGCUCGUUGUGAUCCAUCCUAGGGAGUAUUUGAUGCACUGUCCUGGGCAAAUGGCAGAAAUAAAUUCCAUAUCAAACCACCUUCACCUCUAUCCUUCAAUUUCUACUUG